rnacentral:tRNA from 1 species
GCCAGUGUGGCGUAGUGGUUUGAGUGUUGGACUAUGACUCUGGAGACCAGGGUUCAAUUCCCCCGCUCAGCCA